GCAUCUUCUACAAACGGGGUUUAAAAUGAGCUAGCGCCAUCUACUGGGCGAAUGUCGUAAGGUCUGUUGUGAGGUCCUGAAAUCUGCAAAGGAAUGAAUGAAUUACAAAUCUGUGGCUUUACUGGGGGAAUGUCGAGAAUCGGGCACACGCUGAAGUGUGAGAACCACUGCCAUUAUGGAGAAGAGGCUUCCCGCCCCGCUCACCCGCCACUCUAGAAAUCCAGAGAAGAGAUUCCACUUGGAUUAAGACUUGCAUAAGUGGGGAGUUGAGUCCAGUCUCUCUCCCCCACUGCAAGACCCUGUUGCAGUGACAUGUAAUAAUAAUAAAAAGACUUGCAUGAACUCCUU